UACGGGGGGGGCAAGCGUUGUUCGGAAUUACUGGGCGUAAAGAGCUCGUAGGUGGUUUGUCGCGUUGUUCGUGAAAACUCACAGCUCAACUGUGGGCGUGCGGGCGAUACGGGCAGACUAGAGUACUGCAGGGGAGACUGGAAUUCCUGGUGUAGCGGUGGAAUGCGCAGAUAUCAGGAGGAACACCGGUGGCGAAGGCGGGUCUCUGGGCAGUAACUGACGCUGAGGAGCGAAAGCGUGGGGAGCGAACAGG
rnacentral:rRNA from 1 species